GCAUCGGUGGUUCAGUGGUAGAAUGCUCGCCUGCCACGCGGGCGGGCCGCCCGCGUGGCCCGUGUUUGAUUCCCGGCCGAUGCA
rnacentral:tRNA from 1 species